rnacentral:rRNA from 1 species
AACGAACGCUGGCGGCAUGCCUAACACAUGCAAGUCGAACGAGACCUUCGGGUCUAGUGGCGCACGGGUGCGUAACGCGUGGGAACCUGCCCUUAGGUUCGGAAUAACUCCCCGAAAGGGGUGCUAAUACCGGAUAAUGUCUUCGGACCAAAGAUUUAUCGCCUUUGGAUGGGCCCGCGUUGGAUUAGCUAGUUGGUAGGGUAAAAGCCUACCAAGGCGACGAUCCAUAGCUGGUCUGAGAGGAUAAUCAGCCACACUGGGACUGAGACACGGCCCAGACUCCUACGGGAAGCAGCAGUGGGGAAUAUUGGACAAUGGGCGAAAGCCUGAUCCAGCAAUGCCGCGUGAGUGAUGAAGGCCUUAGGGUUGUAAAGCUCUUUUACCCGGGAUGAUAAUGACAGUACCGGGAGAAUAAGCUCCGGCUAACUCCGUG